rnacentral:lncRNA from 1 species
CAAGACUUCUCCAAGGAGGUGGACUUGGAUCUCAGCCUUAAGAGAUGAGUAGAAGUUUGCCAAAGAUGGAGAGCAUCCCAAACAGAACAGAGAUGACCAGGUCAAGAACUUCACGGUGGCAAGUCCCUGGAUACCUGCUGGGCUGAGCAGAAGGAAGCGUCUCCCACCCCCUGCCCUGCUCAACUUCAAGUACUGGGAACCCCCAGCAACAGCAGUCCCACUGGCAGGCAGUGUCUGGAAUCAGUCCUGCUGACCCAAACCAGAUGUGAGCCAUAUUUGGGUCUCUGUGGGACCAGGCUACCACACAUCACACUGAGUCCUCGAGGAAUAUGGAGAGAGGAGAGGGAGUGCUCCCUCUCUCAGAAGUUUCAGCAGUGGGGUCCUCACCCAUGAGUCUGCUUUCAGCAAUUAUGAUGAAUUCCAGAAUCCAGCCUAGGAAGCACACGAAACGAACACCGGCCAUCUGAAUUCAGCAAACUCAUGUAUUUGGAUGCUCGAAAGCAGCAGUCAUCUAUCAAAGGAAGUGUAUUGGACUAAAUGGAGAGAUUUUUAAUAAGAGGCAAGGGGGUGCACUUUCCCUAAUAAAAAGAGCAGAGAG